AUUAGAGAUUAAUCAUAAUUGAUUUUUUCACAUAAAUACAUUACGAAUAAAUGGAAGGAGUAUCAGACGUGGUUCGGUUUUAGCAUGGAAGGGGUGGUGGGAGGUGAGACGAAAAUAAACCAGACGAAAAUAAACCGGACGAAAAUAAACCGGGACUAUUCAACCAACUCGUCUAUUAAGAAUAGAUAGAGAUAUAAAAAUAUGGAGUAGCUUUCAUUGGUGGCAAUCAAACCAUGAUUAUUCGGCCCGUCAAUCCGUUUCCUUCCCUACCACAGUUUUGGCAUCCUUGCUAAUCACUUCAUUGACUCACUCAACCGUACCCUGUCACAUCGUCCAUUCGCACCACAUGUGCUGCACGCACCUCCCUUAUGCCACAGCUAGACUAACUCCACGUUUCAACUGGCCACAACCAUCUAUCAUCAGUGUACCGAGUCCAUGUAACACGUACUCCAUCCGUCCAAAAAUGCUUAUACAUUUAUUUGAGGGACAAACUUGAGACAACCUUUUUUAGAUGGAGGAAGUACGUGCGAUUUUACAUCGCCGUUUUCAAAUUUCUCGUGGUCGUGAAUUGACGGUUGAUCGACCUCAUGCACAUACUACGUGGAUGCAUUAGAAAACUUGUACUAAUCCCGGCACUGAUGAUGGCAGUAGGCUAACCUAAUCGAACCCAUUACGUGUCGCGCAAGGGCGCUCUCUCGUGACGUCCACGUCAUCACAGGGGUACUGUGCCUGGCAGCCAAUCGUGAGAAAGAUUCGCGCUCGCCAGUGGGCGCUUUGUACGGCGAGACAAAAAAAGAAACGGAUCGCCCAGCCCUAGCCUAGCGAGUCCUCAACUUUUCCCUCUCCCUCGUCCGCCGCCAUCACCGGCGACCUACCCCACAGCCGCUGCUGCCAACCUGCACGGAGGCGGCGGCCUGGGCGACAUGGCACUCUCGUCGUCUAGAUCGAACUGAGCGGGAGGGGGAGAACAAUUGCCGCCUUCUCAUGCUGUCUCGUCUCCACCGUACCUUGUCUGCGCCGCGUGGUGAUGACCGGCGGCACAGCCGGUGUUGGCGGCAGUGGUCGAUCCCCUGGUUGUCGUAGCUUCUGGAAGGCCGGCACUAACGAGGCCCCCUCCGUCCCCAUCCACGAGUUCCACGACAGGGGACUUCGACCGCGCCUGCGUGCAUCCCAGGUUCCUCCGCAUCAACCUGACCUCCCACAAGUUGGCGUUCAGAGCUAUAUCUGAACUUCUUGAUAAUGGAGUAGAUGAGGCAUGAGUGAAAAGGUGAUUAAGAAUUCUGAUGGACAGUGAUGGGGCGGUAUUUGUCGAGGUUGCUAGGUGGGUGGACUUUCCUUUUCUGCAAGGACUUCUCUAGUUCUAUGCUUUCACUUUGGAUGACCGUGUGAAGCACUGAAUUCUGACGUCGGCCUCGCCGCAGAAGUCCGCCCGCACCGCCGAUCGGCGGGUGUCGAAGAGGCCCAAAUCGCUCCCACUCUGAAGCUCAAGGAGGUUCCAAUCACCACCGGCGAAGAGGAUGAGGACAUCCUUGAUAUGUAGCCACGCAAGGUGGAUCCCUCGUCCCGUCGAAGCCGCGAGAAGAGGAGCCCCACCCAGACGACUUCCCCCCGUCUCCCGCGGAUGGUUCUUCUUCCAUUGAGACGCCCAGGCCCGACGGAUCUUGCUCGUCGCAGCCCAGGGCCUGGUCCGUCGGAGCGGUCAGAGAGGAGUGGUGGAUGUGCGUCCUCUUAGACGCCGCCUUUCAGAGAAGGCGGGGAUGAGCGGAUUGCAGCGAGGGAAGCGGCUCGGCUCGGACCGUCCAUGGCGCUAGCACGAUAGCUUGCCUCCUCUUCCGGCAUGGCUAUUGUUUUGGUCCACGCCGUUUCUGCCUCGACGGACACUGUCGUCGUAGGUGCCGAUGAGGAAGAGGUGAGUUCCAGAGGAAGCGUCAUCAUGCCCAGUGUUCUAUAAAGAAAGCCGGCGGCCAGAGACUUGUGAUCGAGAGUUCGUGACGGGGAAAUAGAGAAUAGGGUAGUGAAUUAGCGAUGCGAUCUCACGUCUCAGGAGUCACGAUCGUACCGAUUGGACGACAUGAUUGGAUGCGUCUGGUGUACUUUCCUA